rnacentral:rRNA from 1 species
AGUGAACGCUGGCGGUAGGCCUAACACAUGCAAGUCGAACGGCAGCACAGGAGAGCUUGCUCUCUGGGUGGCGAGUGGCGGACGGGUGAGGAAUACAUCGGAAUCUACUUUUUCGUGGGGGAUAACGUAGGAAACUUACGCUAAUACCGCAUACGACCUACGGGUGAAAGCAGGGGACCUUCGGGCCUUGCGCGAUUGAAUGAGCCGAUGUCGGAUUAGCUAGUUGGCGGGUAAAGGCCCACCAAGGCGACGAUCCGUAGCUGGUCUGAGAGGAUGAUCAGCCACACUGGAACUGAGACACGGUCCAGACUCCUACGGGAGGCAGCAGUGGGGAAUAUUGGACAAUGGGCGCAAGCCUGAUCCAGCCAUACCGCGUGGGUGAAGAAGGCCUUCGGGUUGUAAAGCCCUUUUGUUGGGAAAGAAAUCCAGCUGGCUAAUACCCGGUUGGGAUGACGGUACCCAAAGAAUAAGCACCGGCUAACUUCGUGCCAGCCGCCGCAGUAA